GUGGGAGGGGGCUUGCCCCCGAUGGCGGUGAUUCAGUCAAUUCAAUGUUGACUGACACUCCGCUAUCGGGGGCAAGCCCCCUCCCAC
rnacentral:misc_RNA from 1 species